UAAUGUAUACAUGUCGGUUACAGGACGUGAAUUUUUGCGUUUCAUCUUCUAGGCCGCGUGAGAAGAAACAAUCUCUGAUAUAUCGCAUCAGGAUACGGGACACUGCGUUUUGUUCCAGACAUAUACAGAUAGGCCACGCAUGGACGAAUGAGAACUUAUAAUCCGGUAUAUAAGGAUAAUCUUGAUUGAAGAUGUCGCUAGUAACGUGAGAUUACAAAAAUUAACUGUCGUUCAACCGCGAAUCCUGCAUAUUUUUUUCUUGGACUACUGGAAAAAUUGAUUGAACAAUGUACGUCAAUAACACAACAAUUACAUUACGAAGUCCUUUGAAUAAAGGUUGAUGACACGACAUAUUAAAUCAAUAUGUUUACU